CUGAUACGCGCCACUCUAGUCAAUGCUCGUGUUUACACCAGCCGCGCCGCUUCGCUAAAGAUAGGCGCCUCGCCUAUUUUUGACGGACGCCGCGUCCAAGACGCGCAGCUCAAAUACAAAAUAAAGACGUAAAGUUAGCCGUUUGCAAUGUAUGUCGUGAUGAAAUCCCUCGAGGUGGAAGCAAGCAACGUCAUUUUAACACCACUAACAUGAUAGGCACCUUAGAACACGCCAUACAACUGAACAUAUGCCGAGUAUGAGAAACUAAACCAGCCGAAGCCAACAACAUCCCCAUCCCUCAACCAGCCGACAGUGUGUGAAGCCUCGUUUACACUGCACUACAUUGCAAACGGCUAACUUUACGUCUUUAUCGGACACUUUGAAAAACUUCCAGACGGGAGAACUCAUGUUGCCACUGACAAGCUCCGCUCUGCUGUUGUGUACCUGUGCGCCGUGCAUGCACGUGUGAAAAAGUCGCGCGAGUAAUUUACGUCACGUGAUCGGCUUUUUUGAUCGGCGCUUUUGGGGUUCGCAGAUCAAGCUAUUUUUAGCCAAUAUCGGCCGAUCAUGAUCGGUGGCCGAUCAAUCGGAGCAUCACUAAUCACAACUUUUCUUCUUUCAGUAUUUAGGAAUCAAUGAAUGUAAUAGUUCUUCUGCAGAUGAGUCAAAGCGAAUGGGAUGAGCUAAAGUGCUUCACAAAUUGAUUUAAACAGCUAAGGAAGCGCCUCGCAUAUGUUGUGAUUUUAAUCCAGAAGACGUCAUUCUCAAACAGCUGAGCUGACUUUGGCUUUUCCAAAGAAAAAAAACCUCAUCUGGGUCAUCUAUUCCAGGUGUGGCAUCUGUUUCACGUGAAGGAUGAUUUGUAGAGCUCACAUCCUGGUGCAUCGUGUGACGAUCAUGUCCUUCAUUCCAUGUAAAGUUUCACAGGGCCGACUGCCUCAGCUGUCCCAUACAGACUUUUCCUGGAAGCGAGACUUGAGGAUUUCUUCCAUGAGUCUUCUUGGAAUACAUUUUUUUAUUAUUCUUAGAUGCUUUGGGAGUCUUGUUUCAGCAACGUGUCACAGACCCACAUGUCCUCAUGGAAUAUUCUGCACUUGAGAAUCCAUCUAAGCGUCCUUACAACUGAGAUUGCUGCUGUGUUGGCCAUCGCCCAGCUCUCUGCGUUAAGUCAAAGUUGAGCGAGAUGUUUCUGCAUUUAAACAGACUGAGAGUCCAUGGAGACUACUCUUCCUAGUAGGGCUCUUGAAAACAGAUAACAAAUUAUGAAAUCAGUCCUUUAUUUUUUGAUCUUCCGAGCUAUGAAUCCCUUGCUGUAAUUCCAGCUCCACUGUAAGUCUUCUUAGAAGUCACUGGGAACAGGCAGUGAAAGUUCAUGUCGUUUUACUGAUUUGCAGAUUAAAUGGAAACAAAGGUCUAAAAA